UGGCUCCCUUUGAAGAACUGCCUUGGGGUUCAUGUUGCAGCAUCAAACAGGGAUGGAAGAUGCAUCUUGCUUUAGCAGCAGGAGCCUGGAAAGCAGCUGAAGCCCUGGAGGGUGCCUGGCACACAGAAUCUUGUGCUGAGCCCGGAGCACAAUGGGAGCGGGCUGGCAGGUUCAGUGCUGGACUCCUGGAACCAGCUCAUUGAAGGUGCGUUGGCGGAUUGAUCAGCUGAAUGGCUUCUUAAGGCUUGCUUCCAACCUGAGAACACUGAGCUGAGUACUGUUCUUCCUCCCUCCCAGCCUCCCCUGAGACUGAAAGCCGAGAGCCAUACAGAGAUCACUCCUCUUCCAGGCUCCAGAAGCUGAACAUCUGCUCCGUUUGGAGUUCUAUGCACUGAGCUGAGUUAGGACCUGGGGGGACAGGAACAGCUGAGCCUUUCUGCUCCAAAAGGCAGAGUCAUUUCAGCCAGCCACCCAGCAGCUGCCUAGCCCCUCCCAGACACCCCCAGGGAUGCUGCACAUGUGGCUAGGGUUCCCAUAGGAACCUCUGUGGAGACCUGCCAUCCCUGCUUCCCCACAUCUCCUUUUGGACUCGUGAGAGAGGUUAGGAAGAGGAGGGGAGGGGAAAGGACAGGACUGCCAGGCACUUUCAUACACAAACACCCAGUCUCUUAAUCCUCACAAUAACUCUAAGAAAUAUGCUAUUAUUAUCCUUGUGGUACUGACAAGGAAAUUGAGGCCCAAAGACAUCUAACCCAAGUUCACCCAGGUAACAAACAAGAGAACUGGUCUGCCACCUUAUCAGUUUGUACUGACACAGUAUCAGUCAGUACCAGCCAGGGAUCUCUGGUUGCAAGCAACAGAAACCAACUCCCACUAUCACAAGCAAAAAAAUUGCUGAAGGACUGUGGUGCCACACCAGAAGGAAAGGAAAAGCUGAAGACACAUGAUUGGAAAGGACAGGAAGCAGGGCAGCUUCAGGAUCUGGGUGCCAGGAACGGACCAUCAUUUCAUUGGAAUAAAUAAACUUCUAUUUUUAAA